rnacentral:rRNA from 1 species
UUACGGGGUGCAGGCGCGAAAACUUUACAAUGCGGGAAACCGUGAUAAGGGGACACCGAGUGCCAGCAACAUUUGUUGGCUGUCCAGGUGUGUAAACUACACCUGUUAGCAAGGGCCGGGCAAGACCGGUGCCAGCCGCCGCGGUAACACCGGCGGCCCGAGUGGUGAUCGUGAUUAUUGGGUCUAAAGGGUCCGUAGCCGGUUUGGUCAGUCCUCCGGGAAAUCUGACGGCUUAACCGUUAGGCUUUCGGGGGAUACUGCCAGGCUUGGAACCGGGAGAGGUAAGAGGUACUACAGGGGUAGGAGUGAAAUCUUGUAAUCCCUGUGGGACCACCUGUGGCGAAGGCGUCUUACCAGAACGGGUUCGACGGUGAGGGACGAAAGCUGGGGGCACGAACCGGAUUAGAUACCCGGGUAGUCCCAGCCGUAAACGAUGCUCGCUAGGUGUCAGGCAUGGCGCGACCGUGUCUGGUGCCGCAGGGAAGCCGUGAAGCGAGCCACCUGGGAAGUA